rnacentral:rRNA from 1 species
UACGUAGGGUGCAAGCGUUGUCCGGAAUCACUGGGCGUAAAGCGCACGUAGGCGGAUUGUUAAGUCAGGGGUGAAAUCCUGGAGCUCAACUCCAGAACUGCCUUUGAUACUGGCGAUCUCGAGUCCGGGAGAGGUGAGUGGAACUGCGAGUGUAGAGGUGAAAUUCGUAGAUAUUCGCAAGAACACCAGUGGCGAAGCGGCUCACUGGCCCGGUACUGACGCUGAGGUGCGAAAGCGUGGGAGCAAACAGG